rnacentral:rRNA from 1 species
UACAGAGGGUGCUAGCGUUGUUCGGAAUCAUUGGGCGUAAAGGGCGUGUAGGCGGUUUGUUAAGUCAUGUGUGAAAGCCCCCGGCUCAACUGGGGAGGGUCACGCGAUACUGAUCGACUCGAAGGCAGGAGAGGGUAGUGGAAUUCCCGGUGUAGUGGUGAAAUGCGUAGAUAUCGGGAGGAACACCAGUGGCGAAGGCGACUACCUGGCCUGUUCUUGACGCUGAGGCGCGAAAGCUAGGGGAGCAAACGGG